rnacentral:misc_RNA from 1 species
GGGCGGCCCGGCCGGAGUCAGGAUUGAAAGCGUAGACGGACUUGAACCCAUACUUGUCGAGGAUAUCUCGAAGCUCCAGCUGGUCCUGGUCCCAACCUCCCAAGCUCGACUUGAACACCUCGAUCGGACCCUUGCCUCGUCGGUAUAGAUGGAUCUCCACCUCCGGCACCUUUGUCCUGACCGUUCGAGGCUUCGGGCUCGGAUUCGGAUCAGUCUGCGAAGAUUCAUUCGGAUUUGGGUUUGUCUCUGGGAUUUCUGUGAUUUCGUUGCCCAUCUCCAUUUUGCUGUAGAGAGCCGGCCUUGCUCGUAUUAGAAGGCCAGGGUAUGUCUUAAUAUUUAUCUUGUGAAAUGAUAAAA